AGUGAACGCUGGCGGUAGGCCUAACACAUGCAAGUCGAACGGCAGCACAGUAAGAGCUUGCUCUUACGGGUGGCGAGUGGCGGACGGGUGAGGAAUACAUCGGAAUCUACUUUUUCGUGGGGGAUAACGUAGGGAAACUUACGCUAAUACCGCAUACGACCUACGGGUGAAAGCAGGGGAUCUUCGGACCUUGCGCGAUUGAAUGAGCCGAUGUCGGAUUAGCUAGUUGGCGGGGUAAAGGCCCACCAAGGCGACGAUCCGUAGCCGGUCUGAGAGGAUGAUCGGCCACACUGGAACUGAGCCACGGUCCAGACUCCUACGGGAGGCACCAGUGGGGAAUAUUGGACAAUGGGCGCAAGCCUGAUCCAGCCAUACCGCGUGGGUGAAGAAGGCCUUCGGGUUGUAAAGCCCUUUUGUUGGGAAAGAAAAGCAGCAGGUUAAUACCCCGCUGUUCUGACGGUACCCAAAGAAUAAGCACCGGCUAACUUCGUG
rnacentral:rRNA from 1 species